UACGUAGGGGGCAAGCGUUGUCCGGAAUUAUUGGGCGUAAAGAGCGCGUAGGCGGUCCGAUAAGUCGGCUGUGAAAGUCAGGGGCUCAACCCUUGAAAGCCGGCCGAUACUGUCGGACUAGAGUCCGGAAGAGGCAAGUGGAAUUCCCGGUGUAGCGGUGAAAUGCGCAGAUAUCGGGAGGAACACCAAUGGCGAAGGCAGCUUGCUGGGACGGUACUGACACUGAGGCGCGAAAGCGUGGGGAGCAAACAGG
rnacentral:rRNA from 1 species